UACGUAGGCAGCGAGCGUUGUUCGGAGUUACUGGGCGUAAAGGGUGCGUAGGCGGUUUAUUAAGUCAGAGGUGAAAGCCCGGAGCUCAACUUCGGAACUGCCAUUGAUACUGAUAGACUUGAGUACAGAUGAAGUGGGCGGAAUGUGACAAGUAGCGGUGAAAUGCUUAGAUAUGUCACAGAACACCGAUUGCGAAGGCAGCUCACUAAAGUGUAACUGACGCUGAGGCACGAAAGCGUGGGGAUCAAACAGG
rnacentral:rRNA from 1 species